GAUCGCCGUAUGCGAUGAAAGUCGCCUGUGCGGUGAAGGCUCGUUAUAAACCUAAAGAAAAAGAAGGAUAAGACGAGAAU
rnacentral:misc_RNA from 1 species